rnacentral:rRNA from 1 species
ACUCAAAGGAAUUGACGGGGGCCCGCACAAGCGGAGGAACAUGUGGUUUAAUUCGAUGAUACGCGAGGAACCUUACCCGGGCUUGAAUUGCAGGCGAACGAUCCAGAGAUGGUGAGGCCCUUCGGGGCGCCUGUGAAGGUGCUGCAUGGUUGUCGUCAGCUCGUGCCGUGAGGUGUCGGCUUAAGUGCCAUAACGAGCGCAACCCCUCUCCGUAGUUGCCAUCGGGUAAUGCCGGGCACUCUGCGGACACUGCCUCCGUAAGGUGUGAGGAAGGUGGGGAUGACGUCAAAUCAGCACGGCCCUUACGUCCGGGGCUACACACGUGUUACAAUGGGGUAUACAGAGGGUCAGCCGCCGGCAACGUCGGUUCAAUCCUUAAAGUGCCUCUCAGUUCGGACUGGGGUCUGCAACCCGACCCCACGAAGCUGGAUUCGCUAGUAAUCGCGCAUCAGCCACGGCGCGGUGAAUACGUUCCCGGGCCUUGUACACACCGCCCGU